UGCAGUCGAGGGGCAGCACAUGAGUAGUAAUACGAUGGUGGCGACCGGCGCACGGGUGAGUAACACGUAUGCAACCUGCCUGUAAGAGGGGAAUAACCCAUUGAAAGACGGACUAAUACCGCAUAAUACUUUAGAUCUGCAUGGAUUUAGAGUUAAACAUUUAUGGCUUACAGAUGGGCAUGCGUAUGAUUAGAUAGUUGGUGAGGUAACGGCUCACCAAGUCAACGAUCAUUAGGGGUUCUGAGAGGAAGGCCCCCCACACUGGUACUGAGACACGGACCAGACUCCUACGGGAGGCAGCAGUGAGGAAUAUUGGUCAAUGGGCGCAAGCCUGAACCAGCCAAGUCGCGUGAAGGAAGAAUGUCCUAUGGAUUGUAAACUUCUUUUUUAGGGGAAUAAAGUACACCACGUGUGGUGUUUUGUAUGUACCCUACGAAUAAGGAUCGGCUAACUCCGUGCCAGCAGCCGCGGUAAUACGGAGGAUCCAAGCGUUAUCCGGAUUUAUUGGGUUUAAAGGGUGCGUAGGCGGGAUAAUAAGUCAGGGGUGAAAGUUUGCAGCUUAACUGUAAAAUUGCCUUUGAAACUGUUAUUCUUGAGUACAGACAAGGUAGGCGGAAUGUAUUGUGUAGCGGUGAAAUGCUUAGAUAUAAUACAGAACCCCGAUUGCGAAGGCAGCUUACCGGGCUGUAACUGACGCUGAGGCACGAAAGCGUGGGGAUCAAACAGGAUUAGAUACCCUGGUAGUCCACGCAGUAAACGAUGAAUACUAGCUGUUCGCGAUAUACAGCGAGUGGCACAGCGAAAGCGUUAAGUAUUCCACCUGGGGAGUACGUUCGCAAGAAUGAAACUCAAAGGAAUUGACGGGGGCCCGCACAAGCGGAGGAACAUGUGGUUUAAUUCGAUGAUACGCGAGGAACCUUACCCGGGCUUGAAAUGCAGAAGACCGAAGUGGAAACACUUCUUCCAGCAAUGGCUUCUGUGUAGGUGCUGCAUGGUUGUCGUCAGCUCGUGCCGUGAGGUGUCGGCUUAAGUGCCAUAACGAGCGCAACCCUUAUCGUUAGUUGCCAUCGGGUAAUGCCGGGAACUCUAGCGAGACUGCCACCGUAAGG
rnacentral:rRNA from 1 species